CGUAAAGAACCUGCCCAUAGGUCUGGGAUAACCACGAAAAAUCGGGGCUAAUACCGGAUGUGUCAUCGGACCGCAUGGUCCGCUGAUGAAAGGCGCUCCGGCGUCGCCCAUGGAUGGCUUUGCGGUGCAUUAGCUAGUUGGUGGGGUAACGGCCCACCAAGGCGACGAUGCAUACCCGACCUGAGAGGGUGAUCGGCCACACUGGGACUGAAACACGGCCCAAACUCCUACGGGAGGCAGCAGUAGGGAAUCUUCCACAAUGGACAAAAGUCUGAUGGAACAACCCCGCGUGAACGAUGAAGGCUUUCGGGUCGUAAAGUUCUGUUGUAAGGGAAAAACAAGUGCCGCAGGCAAUGGCGGCACCUUGACGGUACCUUGCGAG
rnacentral:rRNA from 1 species